rnacentral:rRNA from 1 species
UACGUAGGGGCUAGCGUUAUCCGGAAUUACUGGGCGUAAAGGGUGCGUAGGUGGUUUCUUAAGUCAGAGGUGAAAGGCUACGGCUCAACCGUAGUAAGCCUUUGAAACUGGGAAACUUGAGUGCAGGAGAGGAGAGUGGAAUUCCUAGUGUAGCGGUGAAAUGCGUAGAUAUUAGGAGGAACACCAGUUGCGAAGGCGGCUCUCUGGACUGUAACUGACGCUGAGGCACGAAAGCGUGGGGAGCAAAACAGGGAUUAGAUACCCUGGUAGUCCCUGAG